rnacentral:rRNA from 1 species
UACGUAGGUGGCAAGCGUUGUCCGGAUUUAUUGGGCGUAAAGCGCCCGCAGGCGGCUUGAUAAGUUUCAGGUGAAAUCUCCCGGCUCAACCGGGAGGGUGCCUGGAAAACUAUCAGGCUUGAGUCAUGGAGAGGGAUGUGGAAUUCCCGGUGUAGUGGUGAAAUGCGUAGAUAUCGUCAAGAACACCUAUAGCGAAGGCAGCUUACUAGGCUCUAACUGACACUGAGGCACGAAAGUGUGGGGAUCAAACAGG